AGCGAACGCUGGCGGCAGGCCUAACACACGCAAGUCGAACGGAUCCUUCGGGAUUAGUGGCGGACGGGUGAGUAACACAUGGGAACGUGCCCUUUGGUUCGGAACAACUCAGGGAAACUUGAGCUAAUACCGGAUGUGCCCUUCGGGGGAAAGAUUUAUCGCCAUUGGAGCGGCCCGCGUCUGAUUAGCUAGUUGGUGAGGUAACGGCCCACCAAGGCGACGAUCAGUAGCUGGUCUGAGAGGAUGAUCAGCCACACUGGGACUGAGACACGGCCCAGACUCCUACGGGAGGCAGCAGUGGGGAAUCUUGCGCAAUGGGCGAAAGCCUGACGCAGCCAUGCCGCGUGAAUGAUGAAGGUCUUAGGAUUGUAAAAUUCUUUCAGCGGGGACGAUAAUGACGGUACCCGCAGAAGAAGCUCCGGCUAACUUCGUG
rnacentral:rRNA from 1 species